rnacentral:lncRNA from 1 species
CUUGAUUACUUACUAGCAGUAGAAGGAGGUGUAUGCGGAAAGUUUAAUCUAAGUAACUGUUGUCUGCACAUAGAUGAUGAAGGGCAGGCAGUGGCUGAACUUACAAGCCACAUGGUUAAAUUUGAGCAUGUACCUACUCAGGUCUGGAAUGGGUAUAAUCUAAGUAGUUGGUUUGGAAGUUGGUAUGAGCAGCUUGGAGGAAUUAAGACAUUAG